rnacentral:lncRNA from 1 species
UUUUCAUUUGCCUUACGAAAAUUAAGCACCCAUCCUUGGACCUCUCUUAGUCCUUAGUAGAGAGGACUUUAUCUGACUGUCUGAUGUGGAAACGCACACCUAUCCCAAACAUAGGAUUACUGGGGUAUCUAUCUAAAUGCUGCUCUCUCUAACAUACUGAGGUACAUUACAAAUAAAAUGGAUGUUGGUCUAGGUUUCAGGCUGGAGUUUAGGUGGAUAGGGAUGAAUCUCUGUCCUGGGACUGCUGUCAGUAAUAUGGUGCUGCCAGUGCUGUGGAGGCUUGGAAGUAACUGUGCCAGUAAAGCCCUCACCCCAGAGAUGCCUCAGAAGCCCAGUGCUUGCUUGCUCUUUGCAGAUUAUGGUAUGCUCUCGGCAGCUUUGAAAGUAAGGCUUUAUGAGCGCUGUGCCGCUGGGCUCUCCAAGGAGAAGCAGCAUCAUCCCUGAGCCUCCUUCCAUCAGGAUUUGCCAGCCGUGAGGGAGAAGAACACCUCGUACCCAGUGGAGGAGUGAUGCAGCCAUUGCUCUGCCCCCGGCAGUAGCCUCCCGUUUGCAGAGCCCCUGCACCUUCAGCUUGUGCCUCUUCCCUGGCAAGUUUGCAUGUGGCUGGCUCCUGCGCAGGACACGACACAAGCUGAGUCCUGGGGAGCCCCUGCUCCAACCUCCUUGUUCCACCUGGCCCCACGCCUGGGCCAUCAAGCAUCCUCAAGUGAGAAGGACGAGCCUGGUUACUCUGGUUUUCCACACUGGGUGGAAAACCCAUGCCAAAGCUGCUCUAGGCAGAAAUAGAUGCUGACAUCCCAGAAGGGACAGAUUACUUUGAGUAAUUUAUUACAACUUUGUAGUGUCAGGCACUCUCCACGCUCCCAUUCCCUCUCCUUUAUCAAAGCACCUGGCAAGGAGGACUGUAACACAGAUCUCCCUGUUGUAAUGGGACUGUAGAAGGAUGAUUUCCCUCCUGCAAGAGCCUGCACCAAAGCCUCCACCUAGGGCAGGUGGCCUGUUGAGCCGUUUGUGCUGCCCCAUGAUCUGAGCACUGGAGCUGAAAUUGCUGAGGAUCCAGUGGUUCACCUGGUGCCAUGCUGUAAAGCCACAUUUGAUUACAUUUGGUGUUGCAGCUAAUGAAGGUGUUUCAUGUUUUUGAAAGCUUUCAGAAAGUGUUCAGUGAUUUAUGUAUGUGCUAGACUGAUCAUUGAUAGCAGGAGAAAUUCUGACUGGACGUACUCACUAUCCCCACUUCUCGCCCUCUACUGAAAUCCUUGUUAACAAAGACUUGUUUCCUUUUAAAUCAUUCUUCUUGCACAUCUAAUAGGGCUGACACGCUUCUUUUCAAAGUGAAAUACCACUGUACAUUCAUUUAGGGCUCACAUUCACUCCCUCUAGAUUAUAGCCAAACUUGUAUUGUGCUGCUGUGAAUGAUGAGUCAGGUCUCCCCAACAGAAAAACA